GGCUGGGACGCAAAGGCACAGUUAAUUCGGCUUGGUUUUGCUCUCACCUCUUCGCUGAUUGCAGCUCACAGUAAGUACUGGUUCACACAGUUCGUUCCUUGGGUGCUCACUCGCUUUCUCUUUCUCCACAGGCAGCGGCGUAAGUACAGGUUUCCUCGGUCUCUCCUCGUGUUACCCACUCUCUCUCCUUUUCUCUCCACAGGUAUCAACUUGGGCACAAUAGCACAGUUAGUUUGCUUUGAAUGGCUCUCACCUCUGGGCUGGACACAGCGUACUGUAAGUACAGGUUUCGCUCUAUUUCUCCUCGCGUUAUCCACUCUCUCUCCUCCUCUCUACAGGUAUCAACUUGGACACAAAACACAGUUACUCUGCUUUGGAUGGCUUUCACCUCUGGGCUGGACACAACGUACUGUAAGUACAGGGUUCGCUCUAUUCCUCCUCGUGUUAUUCACUCUCUCUCCUUUUCUCUCCACAGGUAUCAACUUGGGCACAAUAGCACAGUUAGUUUGCUUUGAAUGACUCUCACCUCUGGGCUGAACACAGCGUACUGUAAGUACAGGUUUCCUCUGUUUCU